AUACGUAGGGUGCAAGCGUUAAUCGGAAUUACUGGGCGUAAAGCGUGCGCAGGCGGUUUUGUAAGACAGAGGUGAAAUCCCCGGGCUCAAACUGGGAACUGCCUUUGGGACUGCAAGGCUAGAGUACGGCAGCGGGGGAUGGAAUUCCGCGUGUAGCAGUGAAAUGCGUAGAUAUGCGGAGGAACACCGAUGGCGAAGGCAAUCCCCUGGGCCUGUACUGGCGCUCAUGCACGAAAGCGUGGGGAGCAAACAGGAUUAGAUACCCUGGUAGUCCACGCCCUAAACGAUGUCAACUGGUUGUUGGGUCUUCAUUGACUCAGUAACGAAGCUAACGCGUGAAGUUGACCGCCUGGGGAGUACGGCCGCAAGGUUGAAACUCAAAUGAAUUGACGGGG
rnacentral:rRNA from 1 species